AUCCAGCUGACGAGUCCCAAAUAGGACGAAAUGCGCGACAUGGAU
rnacentral:hammerhead_ribozyme from 1 species